AUGCAAGUCGAGCGAAUGGAUUAAGAGCUUGCUCUUAUGAAGUUAGCGGCGGACGGGUGAGUAACACGUGGGUAACCUGCCCAUAAGACUGGGAUAACUCCGGGAAACCGGGGCUAAUACCGGAUAACAUUUUGAACCGCAUGGUUCGAAAUUGAAAGGCGGCUUCGGCUGUCACUUAUGGAUGGACCCGCGUCGCAUUAGCUAGUUGGUGAGGUAACGGCUCACCAAGGCAACGAUGCGUAGCCGACCUGAGAGGGUGAUCGGCCACACUGGGACUGAGACACGGCCCAGACUCCUACGGGAGGCAGCAGUAGGGAAUCUUCCGCAAUGGACGAAAGUCUGACGGAGCAACGCCGCGUGAGUGAUGAAGGCUUUCGGGUCGUAAAACUCUGUUGUUAGGGAAGAACAAGUGCUAGUUGAAUAAGCUGGCACCUUGACGGUACCUAACCA
rnacentral:rRNA from 1 species